AUGUUGGAGGCGAUAUGUUUGAUGAUGUUCCAGUUGCAGAUGCAGUUUACUGAAGUGGAUAUUACACGAUUGGAAUGAUGAUAAAUGCUUGAAGAUUUUGAAGCGAUGUAAAGAGUCUAUUUCAAAUCAAGCCAAAGGAGUGAUGAUAAAAAAGAAGGUGAUUAUAAUAGACAUGGUAUUGAUGGAAAAUGAUAAAGCGAAUGAUGAAACCUCGAAAUCGAUCGAAACGCAGCUGUUCUUCGACAUGUUGAUGAUGGUGCUGCAUACAGGUAGAGAGAGGCGGGAAGAAGAAUGGUCUAAGUUAUUUUCUGCGGCGGGUUUCAGCGACUAUAAAAUUACUCCUAUACUGGGUUUAAGAUCUCUCAUUGAAGUUUACCCUUAAUUAAAAAAGUUGUUCAUGUUGUUUUUAUUUAAUUUCCCUGCGUCCACUUCUGUUUAUCAAAUAAAUAUGAUUGUGUAUGGAACAUAAUAUGAUAUUUGAAUUUAAGUGUAUUUGGGUGUAAUUA